rnacentral:rRNA from 1 species
GACGAGCGCUGGCGGCGUGCCUAAUACAUGCAAGUCGAGCGGACGAAUCGAAAGCUUGCUUUUGAUUCGUUAGCGGCGGACGGGUGAGUAACACGUGGGCAACCUGCCCUGUAGACGGGGAUAACACCGAGAAAUCGGUGCUAAUACCGGAUAACACGAAAUGUCGCAUGACGUUUCGUUGAAAGACGGCGCAAGCUGUCGCUACAGGAUGGGCCCGCGGCGCAUUAGCUAGUUGGUGAGGUAACGGCUCACCAAGGCGACGAUGCGUAGCCGACCUGAGAGGGUGAUCGGCCACACUGGGACUGAGACACGGCCCAGACUCCUACGGGAGGCAGCAGUAGGGAAUCUUCCGCAAUGGACGAAAGUCUGACGGAGCAACGCCGCGUGAGCGAAGAAGGCCUUCGGGUCGUAAAGCUCUGUUGUUAGGGAAGAACAAGUAACGCAGUAACUGGCGUUACCGUGACGGUACCUAACGAGAAAGCCACGGCUAACUACGUG